GACGAACGCUGGCGGCGUGCCUAAUACAUGCAAGUAGAACGCAGUUGAGAACGGGUGAGUAACGCUUAGGUAACUGCCUCAUAGCGGGGGAUAACUAUUGGAAACGAUAGCUAAUACCGCAUACUGUGAGAUGGACCUGCGUUGUAUUAGCUAGUUGGUGAGGUAAAGGCUCACCAAGGCGACGAAACAUAGCCGACCUGAGAGGGUGCUCGGCCAUACUGGAACUGAGACACGUGCCAGACUCCUACGGUAGGCAGCAGUGGGGAAUAUUGCACAAUGGGCGCAAGCCUGAUGCAGCCAUGCCGCGUGUAUGAAGAAGGCCUUCGGGUUGUAAAGGACUUUCAGCGGGGAGGCGUUACCCGCAGAAGAAGCACCGGCUAACUCCGUGCCAGCAGCCGCGGUAAUUC
rnacentral:rRNA from 1 species